rnacentral:rRNA from 1 species
UACCGAGGUGGCAAGCGUUGUUCGGAAUCACUGGGCUUAAAGGGCGCGUAGGCGGGCUAUCAAGUCCGGGGUGAAAUCCUCCAGCUCAACUGGAGAACUGCCUCGGAUACUGAUGGUCUCGAGGAGGAUAGGGGCACACGGAACUGUGGGUGGAGCGGUGAAAUGCGUUGAUAUCCAUAGGAACUCCGGUGGCGAAAGCGGUGUGCUGGAUCCUUUCUGACGCUGAGGCGCGAAAGCCAGGGGAGCAAACGGG